rnacentral:rRNA from 1 species
AUUGAACGCUGGCGGCAGGCUUAACACAUGCAAGUCGAGCGGGGGAAGGUAGCUUGCUACCGGACCUAGCGGCGGACGGGUGAGUAAUGCUUAGGAAUCUGCCUAUUAGUGGGGGACAACAUCUCGAAAGGGAUGCUAAUACCGCAUACGUCCUACGGGAGAAAGCAGGGGAUCUUCGGACCUUGCGCUAAUAGAUGAGCCUAGGUCGGAUUAGCUAGUUGGUGGGGUAAAGGCCUACCAAGGCGACGAUCUGUAGCGGGUCUGAGAGGAUGAUCCGCCACACUGGGACUGAGACACGGCCCAGACUCCUACGGGAGGCAGCAGUGGGGAAUAUUGGACAAUGGGGGGAACCCUGAUCCAGCCAUGCCGCGUGUGUGAAGAAGGCCUUAUGGUUGUAAAGCACUUUAAGCGAGGAGGAGGCUACUCUAGUUAAUACCUAGGGAUAGUGGACGUUACUCGCAGAAUAAGCACCGGCUAACUACGUGCCAGCAGCCGCCGUAA